rnacentral:rRNA from 1 species
AAUAGAUACCCCGGUAGUCCACCCCGUAAACGUUGGGAACUAGUUGUGGGGUCCUUUCCACGGAUUCCGUGACGCAGCUAACGCAUUAAGUUCCCCGCCUGGGGAGUACGGCCGCAAGGCUAAAACUCAAAGGAAUUGACGGGGACCCGCACAAGCGGCGGAGCAUGCGGAUUAAUUCGAUGCAACGCGAAGAACCUUACCAAGGCUUGACAUACACCAGAACACCCUAGAAAUAGGGGACUCUUUGGACACUGGUGAACAGGUGGUGCAUGGUUGUCGUCAGCUCGUGUCGUGAGAUGUUGGGUUAAGUCCCGCAACGAGCGCAACCCUCGUUCUAUGUUGCCAGCACGUAAUGGUGGGAACUCAUGGGAUACUGCCGGGGUCAACUCGGAGGAAGGUGGGGAUGACGUCAAAUCAUCAUGCCCCUUAUGUCUUGGGCUUCACGCAUGCUACAAUGGCCGGUACAAAGGGCUGCAAUACCGUGAGGUGGAGCGAAUCCCAAAAACGCCGGUCCCGAGUUCGGAUUGAAGUCUGCAACUCGACCUCA